AUUAUAAUUAGAUGUAAAAUUGUGUCUAUGAACUAUUGGAAUAGUUACAGGGAUGCUUUGGAAUCUCCUUUCUUGGCAUCUAAAAAGAUUGUCUGGAGAAUUUUGGCACCUGAUUGGAUUAGAAUUUUAGCAGGAAAUGGUUAAGAUGGAACUUUCAGAUUUAAUGAUUUCUCUGCUUCCAGCUCUGGCCUAUCAGUGUCUAUGUGGGAGGAAAGAGAAGACAUUGGCAGGGGAUGACCUGGGCAUAAGGUUGUCUUUCAGGAGGUGUAGCCUGGUUGUGGCCUGGGGAGUUUGGCUGUUCUGUGUGGUGUGCCUCCACGGUGUGGUCUCCAGUGAGCUGCUCAGCAGGUGUAGACCCGGGCAGGGCGAAGCUCUCUGGGCUGUUGACUGUGAGGCCCCUCCCCACCGGUAGAUUUCCAAGCCUCUUCAGUUUUGCAUUCAGCCACAGCAGAAUCCGAAUGAAUACUGAGUGCUAAAGGAAGAUUUUUAGGUUGAAUGAAAAGGAUAUUGAAUAGAAACUUGGACUUAUAAGAGUUUCAGAAAUGGUAAACUCCUCCAGGGCAGGACCUGACUCUUCAGAGGAAUUUUUUAAUCCCCCUCCCCAGAAGUGCCCACGUCAAGGCCAUAGUAGAGAAGGAGCUCAAGAGCAAUCCCUAAGCAACCACGCUUGGAAGCAUCCUGCAACAGAGGGAUUUGUUCCAGACUCAGAUUUAAUCCACUAUUACCUUUUCGUAAGACAAGUGUUGUCUGAAGGAGUCUGUGUGUAAUUUUGAGACAAAAGGAUUGCAGAACUCAGCUCCCAGGUUGUCUCAUAUCUGAUUCUUCGAAAGAGGAAAAGAAGCGAACUCUUCUGCACAAUAGCUGAGCAGAUAGGAGAGAAAAAGCUUGAAGAUUCACAGUGGAGCAAGGCUAAUUGGAGCCUUCCUCAGAGCAGCUCAACUAUCCCAGUUUUACCUAUCCCAUUCCUUGCCAUUCCCACUUGUAAUUCUGUCUUGGCAAGAACACCAUACUGAAGGUUCUUAAAGCAGUUUGUAGACUUUAAUUAGUUCUGUGGAAAGUCAGUCAAAGCUCAGCCUUCAUUCUGCCAACAGAGACAACAGUGGUGGGUGUGGAAGGAAGGCAAGAAGAAGAUGGACACCCAGAGCAGUUGUGCAACUUACUGAAGGCCAUGUGGAUAGGAGGAACUGGGUUUAAAACCCCUGAGUCUUGAUAAAAGUGUCUUAGCCUUCUAGAUUCCUAAACAGGUAGUGGGCUCAUCCUACUAACCUACUUUGCUAGGGUGUUGUUGAUGAAUGCUUAUAAACCCUGUCCUAGAUGAUAGGUUUGGAAGAUUGUUAAAGAAAGCAUGUCAUUAAGUCCCUACUCACCCCCUCCUUGACAAAUAGCCCUGGAGGGAAAUGAAUAUUAGCCAGAAUCGUAGGGCCUCCACUUCAAUGGAAUGAACUGAGAUUCAACAACAAGAGAAAUGUUCCAACAGUGAGGGAAAUCAACAAUGUGCUGGGGGUGAAGGGUAGGGGUUGGGAAGGCCUAAACAGGUGACCAUUGCCAGACAGCCCAGACAAGAUCAUCACAGAAUAGCUGAUUCCCAUUAGACACUGUGGGUGAUCAUUAUCUUAAAAUUCAGGACACUAUUUUUGUAGUAGUUUCCCUUCCUCUCUUUGUAAGAGCAGAAGACCUCUCUGGGGCCUAUCACAAGACAAGCGGGUGUUUGCAAAUGAGGGACGUACUUUGAGACUGAAUUGCUCUGUGCUUCUCUAAAAGACAUGGUUAAGAGUUUGGGCGCUGAUGUUAGAGACUGAGAUUAAAAUCCUUCCUUGCCACUUCCAUCAGUAUAAAUUUGGAUAAGUUUCUUAACUUCUCUAAGCCUUGAUUUUCUCACCUAUAAAAUGGGCCUAAUAAUAGUGCCUAACUUAGAGGUUUGUUGUAAAGGUUAAAUGCAAUUAUUCAGGUAAAGCCUUAAUGGAGCCUGAUAUGUAGUAAGCACUCAAUCCAUUUUAUCUACUGACUCUUUUCUCUGUGUGGGUUACCCACUUUGGAGAUUGUCCCCAGUAAUUUCUUUGGUCAAGUCUUGAUCUCCCUGGCCCCUUGGCUGUCUUCUCCCACCAUGAUCAGUGAGAAGUUGAGGAGCACUAAUACCAAAUUCUUUUUCAUGUUAGUUAGGAGAAAGCAGAAUUACGAAGGUCAACCUGCUGGUGUAAAAAAAUAUUACAUAGAUUAGCCCUGCUCUACAUAUUAGAUAUGUUCUCAAAAUGCCUAAGUGGCCUUUUUUUUUUUUUUUAAUUUAAGUUCUAGGGUACAUGUGCACAACGUGCAGGUUUGUUACAUGUGUAUACAUGUGCCAUGUUGGUGUGUGGCACCCAUUAACUUGUCAUUUACAUUAGGUAUAUCUCCUA
rnacentral:lncRNA from 1 species